GGGCGGGCCCUGGGAGGAGGAGGGGCAGGAAAGGCCUUCCGGCCUGAGCCCCUCCGGCCUGGGCUGCUCUCUUCCUCGAUGUCGUAGGAGAGAGUGCAAGCACCGGGAUGGGAAGCUGAUGUUGCAUCUAAAUAGACGACAGAACAACAACCCAGACACCUGGAGGAAUCCCUGAAGAUAAAGAAUCAGGUAUCACUAUCUACUCAGAACCUUUGCUUUUAUUGGUCCUUUAAGAAAUUUGAAGAUCAUGCCACUGUCUCCUCGUGGGUUAUUAUCAAAGUAGUGAAUCCCAUGAUCUUUUGACUGAAAUUCCCAGUGUUGUAUAUUCUGCUUGUUGUGACAAGCAUACCUAUACCCUGACCUUUACCAACCA
rnacentral:lncRNA from 1 species